rnacentral:tRNA from 1 species
GUGUAGGUGGCUCAGUGGUUAAGCACUUGACUUAUCUGCAAGUCCUGGGUUCAAUUCCCAUCAUAUACC